rnacentral:rRNA from 1 species
UGGGGAAUAUUGCACAAUGGGCGCAAGCCUGACGCAGCCAUGCCGCGUGUAUGAAGAAGGCCUUCGGGUUGUAAAGUACUUUCAGCGGGGAGGAAGGCGAUAAGGUUAAUAACCUUGUCGAUUGACGUUACCCGCAGAAGAAGCACCGGCUAACUCCGUGCCAGCAGCCGCGGUAAUACGGAGGGUGCAAGCGUUAAUCGGAAUUACUGGGCGUAAAGCGCACGCAGGCGGUUUGUCAAGUCGGAUGUGAAAUCCCCGGGCUCAACCUGGGAACUGCAUUCGAAACUGGCAGGCUAGAGUCUUGUAGAGGGGGGUAGAAUUCCAGGUGUAGCGGUGAAAUGCGUAGAGAUCUGGAGGAAUACCGGUGGCGAAGGCGGCCCCCUGGACAAAGACUGACGCUCAGGUGCGAAAGCGUGGGGAGCAAACA